CUCCCCCUCAUUAGAUACCACACUUCCUUGAAUUCUAAAAUCUCCAACCCCAUCUUUGAGAAUUAGUUAAGUGAUAAAUUUUCUAUCAAAGUAUAACUAGAAAACAAAAUUUGAUGAACAAAAGAUGUGUUUGGUUUACAAUCGAAAUCAGAAUUGUAAUACGAAUGAUUUAAAAUGAAAGCCGAAACAGAGAUUUUGAGAUAUUGAGGCAUUUUGAUUUUUUCAUAGAAUUGAAAUGAAACUCUCUUCAAC
rnacentral:lncRNA from 1 species